GAACGGAAGUAUUCACACACUUACACAACACACGAAACAGAACGGAAAAUGCCGACCGAACUGCUUGACGACUCCACCCAGGACGCGGAGGAGGAGUUUAUCUUCAACGAGUACGCCAUCGAUGACAGCCUCGACCCGCUGAACCGGCUCUUGAUGUACUAUCAGUCGGACUUCUCGUUGCAGCGGCUCGUGCUCGUACGCGAGCUCGCCUCGACCGCGCAAUUCGCCGGGUACGCCGAAAGCGCGCGCUCCAUUGUGCCGCUGCUGACGACCUUCACCCAAGACGCUGAGCCCGUGGUGAGGCAGGCUCUGGUAGAGCAGCUGUACCCACUCGCGGAGUUCUUCGUGCAGCAGGGCAGUGAUGCAGGUUACCAAUGCUUGCUGAAUGCCUUCCUCCCGACGGCUUUCGAGCUGCUCGUUGAUAAGAAUGUGGAGGUCGGCGUUGUGGCGCUAGAAGCGAUUCAGAAGCUGGCCCAACUCGUACACAAGGAAGACGUGCAAUCGCACUUGCUUAACGUGGUCAUGACCCUCGCCCACGACGAGCGCGCAGAGGAUUACCGCGUUGUAGCGGCGCAGCUCUUCAACGACCUCGCGCCACAGUUCGGCAGCGAGUUCUCAACAACGGUGGUGCUCGGCGAACUGGAGCUGCUCUCAAACGACUCUAGCUUCACCGUGCGCCGUACCGUCGGCAGCAACCUCGGUGGCGUGUGUGCCGUGCUCACGACGGAGGAGGCGCAGCGGACGGUGCUGUCGCUGUAUAUCACUCUCUGCGAGGAUGAGAUCUGGGGCGUGCGGCAGGCCUGUGCCGAGUCCAUUGAAAAGGUGUCGAGUGGGCUGCCCGAGUCAAUGCGGGUGCAGUUUAUCGUGCCGGCUUUCCAGAAGCUGCUCGAGGACGACUCUCGCUGGGUGCGCACGCGCGCCUACGAGUCACUAGGCCGCCUCCUCCACACACUUCGUAGUGAAGACAUCAGCCCUGAGCUGCUGCGCCUCUUCACCGACAUGGCCUUCCAGUCCGACAACGUGGAAAGCCCACUCAGCGAGUACUGUGCAUACUGCUUUCCAGCUGUGGUGCAGGCUAUCGGUCCGUCCCGCUGGAACGAGGUGGCGGACGCAUACGCGACGAUGCUGAAGGACGUGCAGUGGAAAGUGCGCAAGUCCCUCGCAUACUCGCUGCACGAAAUGGCCGCGCUGCUUGGGACAGCAAUCACGGAGGAGGCUAUUGUGCCAGCCUUUGAGCUGCUGCUGCGCGACCUCGACGACAUCAAGCGCGGCGCCGUCCUCAACGCCGAGAAGUUUCUCGCUCUAGUCACGCCCGCCACGCGCGACCGUCUUGUGCCCCUUCUGUGCCAUGUGCCGCUAGAGAGCGAGAACUGGCGGCUGCGCAACGAGGUGGCGAAGCGCAUCGGCGCCGUCGCCGUGCUGCUCUCGCCUGACAGCCCCUCUUUUCCUUCUGUACUGGCGCUGGUGUCGCGACUGCUCGAUGAUAGUGUUAUGGAAGUGCGCACCUCCACAUACGAGCCGGUCGCAAUCAUCCUUAAGCACCUGCGUUCGGCCAAUGACGAGAAGUACCAGAACUACCUUGCCUCCAUUGUGAAGCUUGCGACGGCGUACAGCUUCCGUGGGCGGCAGAUGUUCGCCUACGUCACGGAGCAGGUCGUUAAGGUUGGUGCCGACGACGUACUCGAGAGCGCGCUGCUUGACGGGAUUGUGAAGCUGGCAAUGGACCCCGUCGUCAACACGCGCCUUGUCGUUGACAACGUGGCGGGCCGCACCAUCCUGCGCAACCACAAGUGGGCGGGGAAUAACAAGGUGCAGGAAGCGGUCGCGGUUCUGCAGCAGCAGGCAGCUUCGCAGGAAGAGGCGGACGCGGCGGCCGAGGCCGCUGAGGCAGCCGUGGCAAAUACCCAAAUAUUGAAUGGCAACGAGGGCGGCGGCGGCGAGGCUGGCAGUUUGGAGAUGCAGCAGGACGAGGAGCAGCAAGCUGACGGCGGCGCCCCCUCCCCGGCGCUGCAGGCCGGCCCUGAUGGCGUGGCCGCUGGAGCGGGAGGUACUGGGGGUGAAGACGAAGCCGACCCGCCGUGCGGUCUGUGGCCGCAGGGCGUGCCAACCAUGUCCGCAGAAGCUCCUGGUGGCAGUAGUAGUGUAGUCUCAUUAGGUGGUACUGCGGUUGUAGGCGAUAUUUAAUCACGCAACUCUCCCUGUAUCCCUCUCCGGUCCUCUCCAUUUUGUGCGUGCGUGCACGACCGCGUGUUUGGAUGAGUGUGCCCUUUCCACUGGGGCCGCGAGCCCACCCCCUCCCCGCCCCGGCCCUCUCUCUCUUUCUCUCUCCGCCACCACUCCUCUUCCUCCUUCCGCAACGGCCUCGUGCUGUGCACCGAAGCAACAUCAGCCAAGUCGGUACUGGGCCGCUGUGUUGUAUGCCGCAUUAUAUCUGCAUAACUGCCUGUGAUCUGUUUGUGUGUGUGUGUGUAUGCCUGUAUACGUUUGUGUGUAAAAGUUGGAGGGCACUGAUCCGCCCGCGUAUGGGGCGGGAGAUGAUGGCAUUUUUCGUAUAGUCAUUGCGAUCCAGGGAUGGUGGGGAGGAGGUGGGGCAACACCCCUGGGGUGUUUUGUGUUUGUUUCUUGCGUGUGUGUAUGUGCCGAUCGUCGCACCUUCGCUCCGCACCCACUUGUAUGUAUACACUCGCGUAAAGCAGGAUGCGUGUUGGUGGAGCGGAGGGCCGAGAAGGGAAAAACAGCUCGAGACGCGGACAUAUAAGGGGGAGGGAGAAGGAUGGAACAUGCACAGACGACAGAGGAGAGAGGUAGUGAUAGCCUUGUUUCUGUGUGUGUUUGUUGGCAUGUAGGUCACUUGGCCCCCCCCCACAAACACACGCACACACAAGAAAGGGAUGAGGGAAGGAGGCGAGCAGGCGAGGUGGCAGGAGGAGGCCGACGCGAAGGUGCACAACGGCAACGAAAGCAUGCUAACACCACUAAUUUAAAGGGAUGUCGUAGACGGCUACACAGCGAAGAAAGGGAUCUACUGAUGGUCAGUGUGUAGGCGUGUAUGCACGUAGACCCGUAUGCGUUUGUGUGGGUGUGGGUGUGGGUGUGUAGUGGUGCGCAGAGGGAGGGGGGGCGAGGUGUUUGCUGCCAGGAACCCCUCCUUCUCAACCCAUCCCCCCACCCACACACGCACGCAUACAUAUACUCCGUACUUGCUCACCCUCCUUCUCCCUCCUGCCCCGUCACACCCGCAGACUCAUGUGCGUGGAUGGCGGCGAGCCCGAACAGCACACAAGCAUGCAUACAAGCGCAUUCAUUUUUGUUUUUAUUUUUUUUUUGUUUUCCUCUCUCCCUUUCUACCACUCGUCCCACUGCAGCGGGUGACGCCACGCAUUGUGUGCGUGUCGGUGUGGGUGUGUAGGUGGGUGAGGCUAUGUAUGUCCUUGUCAGCCUGUACUUCUAUGGCACAUCCCUCCUCCUCCCUCCCUCCCGACCGACCGACCGCCGUUCUUUGUUGUUCUUUGGUGUUGUCUGUGCAACGCUCGACUAUGGAUGCGUAUGUCUUUGCGGAUAUGUGUCCGUGCAGCCGGUCUCGUGCUUCGCGCCCGUUUUCUUUAUGGGGAGGGAGGGAACGCACUUCUCCCUCCUCGCCAUCCUUGCCACUCUCGCAGCAUUUGGCUUUGGGGAGGAGGGGCGCGACGCUUGCCGACGGCCCCUCGGUAAUGUAAGUGGUAGUGAUGACGUUGGCGACGGCCGGUAUCGACUUCUUUUUGUCUCUAUGAUCUCAUAUAUAUAUAUAUAUGUCAUCUUAGUGUGUUCUGUGUAUCUCCCCCAUCCCCUCUCCAUCCCUCCCUUUCUUCCUCUUUGUGUAUUUCGUGUCUCUGCCUCAAAAAUGAGCGUGUGUCUGCGUGAAGCUGAAGCUGUUUCAAGGAUCUCGUUGCUUGGUUGCUGAUGUGGGUGUCGGUCUGUGCGUGUGUGUGUGUCUGCGUGUGUGUGCGUGUGUCUUAUGUACGAGAAGUGAGCGCGCCCCUUGUGUGUGUUUUGUAGAGGUAAGCGUGUCCACCUCCCUUCUCAUCUGCCAUAAUGCAAGAAAGGAAAAGAGCAAAAAAGGUACGACAACCCGCAUGGCGUCACAGUCGACAGUACAGCGUGAAAAAAAAAAACAGGAGGAGGGGUGACGGGAAAGGCCCCCGCACGCGAACGCCUUUCUCACCGGCUUUCUCUCUGCCCUCAAUCCGGUCGCAAUACCGUCUCCCUGCCCCCGCGCCUCUCUCGCCCCACGCC
rnacentral:misc_RNA from 1 species